CUCGUGCGUCGAUGAAGAACGCAGCCAGCUGCGAGAACUAAUGUGAAUUGCAGGACACAUUGAUCAUCGACACUUCGAACGCACAUUGCGGCCCCGGGUCCCUCCCGGGGCUACGCCUGUCUGAGGGUCG
rnacentral:rRNA from 2 species